CUUGGUCAUUUAGAGGAAGUAAAAGUCGUAACAAGGUCUCCGUUGGUGAACCAGCGGAGGGAUCAUUACCGAGUUUACAACUCCCAAACCCAAUGUGAACGUUGCCAAACUGUUGCCUCGGCGGGAUCUCUGCCCCGGGUGCGUCGCAGCCCCGGACCAAGGCGCCCGCCGGAGGACCAACCAAAAACUCUUUCGUAUACCCCCUCGCGGGUUUUCUAUAUCUGGGCCAUCUCGGCGCCUCUCGUAGGCGUUUCGAAAAUGAAUCAAAACUUUCAACAACGGAUCUCUUGGUUCUGGCAUCGAUGAAGAACGCAGCGAAAUGCGAUAAGUAAUGUGAAUUGCAGAAUUCAGUGAAUCAUCGAAUCUUUGAACGCACAUUGCGCCCGCCAGUAUUCUGGCGGGCAUGCCUGUCCGAGCGUCAUUUCAACCCCCGAACCCCUCCGGGGGGUCGGCGUUGGGGAUCGGCCCUUUACGGGGCCGGCCCCGAAAUACAGUGGCGGUCUCGCCGCAGCCUCUCCUGCGCAGUAGUUUGCACACUCGCAUCGGGAGCGCGGCGCGUCCAUUGCCGUAAAACACCCAACUUUCUGAAAUGUUGACCUCGGAUCAGGUAGGAAUACCCGCUGAACUUAAGCAUAUCAAUAAGCGGAGGA
rnacentral:rRNA from 1 species